UACGUAGGGUGCAAGCGUUGUCCGGAAUUAUUGGGCGUAAAGAGCUCGUAGGCGGUGUGUCACGUCGGCCGUGAAAACCUGCAGCUUAACUGUGGGCGGGCAGCUGAUACGGGCAGGCUGGAGUUCGGUAGGGAGACUGGAAUUCCUGGUGUAGCGGUGAAAUGCGCAGAUAUCAGGAGGAACACCGGUGGCGAAGGCGGGUCUCUGGGACGGUACUGACGCUGAGACGCGAAGCGUGGGGAGCGAACAGG
rnacentral:rRNA from 1 species